UACGAAGGGGGCUAGCGUUGUUCGGAAUUACUGGGCGUAAAGCGCACGUAGGCGGAUUGUUAAGUUAGGGGUGAAAUCCCAGGGCUCAACCCUGGAACUGCCUUUAAUACUGGCAAUCUAGAGUCCGAGAGAGGUGAGUGGAAUUCCGAGUGUAGAGGUGAAAUUCGUAGAUAUUCGGAGGAACACCAGUGGCGAAGGCGGCUCACUGGCUCGGUACUGACGCUGAGGUGCGAAAGCGUGGGGAGCAAAC
rnacentral:rRNA from 1 species